CCUACGGGAGGCAGCAGUGAGGAAUAUUGGUCAAUGGACGCAAGUCUGAACCAGCCAUGCCGCGUGCAGGAUGACGGCUCUAUGAGUUGUAAACUGCUUUUGUACGAGGGUAAACCCCGAUACGUGUACCGGGUUGAAAGUAUCGUACGAAUAAGGAUCGGCUAACUCCGUGCCAGCAGCCGCGGUAAUACGGAGGAUCCGAGCGUUAACCGGAUUUAUUGGGUUUAAAGGGUGCGUAGGCGGUUUGAUAAGUUAGGGGUGAAAUGUCGGGGCUCAACCCCGGAACUGCCUCUGAUACUGGUGGACUAGAGGAUAGGAGCGGUAGGCGGAAUGUAUGGUGUAGCGGUGAAAGGCGUAGAGAUCAUACAGAACACCGAUUGCGAAGGCAGCUUACCAAACGAUAACUGACGUUGAGGCACGAAAGCGUGGGUAGCAAACAGGAUUAGAUACCCGGGUAGUC
rnacentral:rRNA from 1 species